rnacentral:rRNA from 1 species
UACAGAGGUCUCAAGCGUUGUUCGGAUUCAUUGGGCGUAAAGGGUGCGUAGGUGGUGCCGUAAGUCGGGUGUGAAAUUUCGGAGCUUAACUCCGAAACUGCAUUCGAUACUGCCGUGCUUGAGGACUGGAGAGGAGACUGGAAUUUACGGUGUAGCGGUGAAAUGCGUAGAUAUCGUAAGGAAGACCAGUGGCGAAGGCGGGUCUCUGGACAGUUCCUGACGCUGAGGCACGAAGGUCAGGGGAGCAAACGGG